ACAGACAGUAUAACAAACUGCGAAACCUGCUGAAGGAUGCGCGUCAUGAUUGCAUUCUCUUUGCCAAUGAAUUCCAGCAAUGCUGCUAUCUGCCACGGGAAAGAGGAGAGUCCAUGGAGAAGUGGCAGACCAGGAGCAUAUACAAUGCAGCUGUUUGGUACUAUCAUCACUGCCAGGACAGGAUGCCGAUUGUUAUGGUGACGGAAGAUGAAGAGGCAAUUCAGCAGUAUGGAAGUGAAACAGAAGGAGUAUUCGUGAUUUCUUUCAAGAAUUACCUGGACAGUUUCUGGCCUGAUUUAAAAGCUGCCCACGAGCUUUGUGAUUCUAUCCUUCAGUCUCGACGGGAGAGAGAGAAUGAGAGUCAGGAGAGCCAUGGAAAGGAGUAUCCAGAACAUCUUCCCCUGGAAGUGUUAGAAGCUGGGAUUAAAUCUGGACGGUAUAUCCAGG
rnacentral:sRNA from 1 species